AAGUCGUAACAAGGUUUCCGUAGGUGAACCUGCGGAAGGAUCAUUAACACGUAUCCAACGUUAAACCCCCCGUGAACCUUUAUUGCGAACCACGCCUUUGUUAGAAAGUAGCAAUCCCUGGUAAAUCAUCGCCGAACAGUUUUGAUUCAGUUGUAGCGCGAGGUAAGUGGCCUGGCAUCUCUCUGCUUGUUAGUGUCUGAAAGUGUCACUAGCUCUGUACGGAUGGCGCAGUCACGAUCGCUGGAGGCCGACACGGCCGGCGACCGGGUCACCGGGCAUAGACCCCCCUAUCACCCCUUUGCAUGAAAACGGGCCUGCGCUUAAUUGUGCGGCCACCAAACUCGAACAACUGUUAACAAUGGAUAUCUUGGUUCUC
rnacentral:misc_RNA from 1 species